GGACGGUUGGCGCAGUGGUAGCGCGUCUCCUUGACACGGAGAAGGUCACAGGUUCGAACCCUGUACCGUCCA
rnacentral:tRNA from 1 species